CAGGGUCUUCUGCCUGCACAAAAUCCUUAAUCUCUUUUAGGAGCGUUGACAUCUUUUCAACAAUGCCACCAGGAUCACCGCCACUAGCCAUCUCAUGCAAGGUCAAAGAUUCAUGAUUGAGGUCAUAUAUUGUGACAAGCUGCAACUUCUCAGAUAACCAUCGAAGAAUAUUUGCGUCAACGCUAGCACUGCUGCUUGAAUUAUAGAGAGACAUCAGGUCAUUAAAAAGAUUAUCGUCACAUGAAUCCGAUCGUUCCUUAGCUCUUUUGAACUGAGUAUGCACCAAGUCAACCUGCAUAACAUUGAAAAUAUUAUGGUACACAAAACAAGGAAAAAUAUCAAAACAGUAGUAAUAUAAAAAACAUUAAUGAAAAUAGAAAUUUUGGAAUUUAGUAGUCUACCUGCUCUCUUACUUCAUCAGAUAUAUUAAGUUCAUCAAACAAGAUACCAGCUAAGGCUUAUUCAAGACUUACAGUGACGUCCUGGAAAGUCUUCAAUAUUUCUCUCUGUCAAGAACUUGCAAAUAUCAUAGGCAUUUACUAUGAACGGCCAUGCUGGUGUAUCUAGCACUAAUCUCUACUACUAAUUAUGUGACUAAUGUAGGCGUCCACCCCCCCAUGGUGCAGGUUCUGCCGCGCGCACCCUGCCCCGCAUCCGCCCCGCACAUCUCGCCCGCAUCCCGCCGUCGUCCCGCGCUCCUUCCAUCCUCCGCCCUCAUCCCGCCGCCCUCCUUCCAUUUUGAGCUUUGACGGCGCGGAUCCCCAACGCUCCCUUCCAUCCUCACGGAUCCCCCCACCCUCGAAUCCCGCGCUCCCUCCCUGUCGGGAACCAUAAUUAGGGGUACCCCCAAGACUCCUAAUCUCAGUUGGUAACCCCCAUCAGCACAAAGCUGCAAAGGCCUGAUGGGCGCGAUUAAGGUCAAGGCACAAUCCACUCAAGGGACGCGAUCUCGCCUCGCCCGAGCCCAGCCUCGGGCAAAAGCAGCCGACCCCGGAGGAUUCACGUCUCGCCCGAGGGCCCCCUCAAGCAACGGACACACCUUCGGCUCGCCCGAGACCCAGUCUUCGCAGAGAAGCAACCUUGGCCAGAUCGCCACACCAACCGACCGUAUCGCAAGAGCAUUUAAUGCAAGGAUCGCCUGACACCUUAUCCUGACGCGCGCUCUUCAGUCGACAGAGCCGAAGUGACCGCAGUCACUUCGCCGCUCCACUGACCGACCUGAUAAGAAAACAGCGCCGCCUGCGUCACUCCGACUGCUGUGCCACUCGACAAAGUGAGGCUGACAGCAGCUAAGUCCAGCCUCGGGCGGCAUAGGAAGCUCCGCCUCGCCCGACCCCAGGGCUCAGGCUCAACCUCGACGCUGGACGACGGACUCCGCCUCGCCCGACCCCAGGGCUCGGGCUCAACCUCGACGCUGGACUCCGCCCCGCCCGACCCCAGGGCUCGGACACAGCCUCGGCCUCAGAAGACGGUCUCCGCCUCGCCCGACCCCAGGGCUCGGGCUCAACCUCGACGCUGGACGACGGACUCCGCCUCGCCCGACCCCAGGGCUCGGACACAGCCUCGGCCUCGGAAGACGGUCUCCGCCUCGCCCGACCCCAGGGCUCGGGCUCAACCUCGACCUCGGAGGAGCCUCCGCCUCGCCCGACCUCGGGCUCGAACCUGCCACGUCACAAGGAAGGCCAUCAUUACCCUACCCCUAGCUAGCUCAGGCUACGGGGAACAAGACCGGCGUCCCAUCCGGCUCGCCCCAGUAAACAAAUAAUGAUGGCGCCCCACGUGCUCCAUGACGACGACGGCUCUCAGCCCCUUACGGAAGCAAGGAGACGUCAGCAAGGAUUCGACAGCCCCGACAGCUAUCCUUCCGCAGGGCUCCAGCUCUCCUCCGACGGCCACGACAUCACAUGAACAGGGUGCCAAAACCUCUCUGACUGCCACGACGGCAUGUACUUAGGGCUCUAGCUCCUCUCUGCUAGACACGUUAGCACACUGCUGCACCCCCCAUUGUAAACCUAGACCCUCUCCUUACGCCUAUAAAAGGAAGGUCCAUGGCUCUCGUACGAGAAGGUUGGCCGUGUGGGAGAACGGGCCGGCGCAUAAGGCUCUCGCCCUCUCUCUCUCCCACGCGAACGCUUGUAACCCCCUACUGCAAGCGCACCCGACCUGGGCGCAAGGCAACACGAAGGCCGUGGGUUUUCCCUUUGCCUGUUUCUUCCCCCCUUCGUGCUCCGUCUCGCGCCGACCCAUCUGGGCUGGGACACGCAGCGACAAUUCACUCGUCGGUCCAGGGACCCCCUGGGGUCGAAACGCCGACACUCCCGCGCUUCCUCCACGCUCCCUUCCAUACAGCGGGCCCGAUCCGAUUCGGCUUCCGUCUCACUCAUCUCACCUGGCCUCCGCGGAGAGAUCUAGCGGUGGAGGCGAUGCCACUGGGCGACGGCGCGGAGGCGACGGACUUCGUGCUGCCGGACGAGCUCCUGGCGGCGUUGCCGCAGGACCCCUACGAGCAGCUGGAUCUGGCACGCCACAUCACCGCGCUGGCGGUAUCCGGGCGGGUGUCCGGCCUGGAGCGGGAGGCAGGGCGCCUACGGGCGGAGGGUGCGGGGAAGGACCGCGAGAACGCCGAGCUCCGGGAGCGAGUGGUGUUGCUCGAUACCGCGCUGCAGGAGACCAACGCCAGGCUCCGCUCCCCCAUGCUCACGACGACAGAUCUCGUCCCUUCCUACGAUCACGAAGCCACAGCUUUCGACGACUCGUGACCUCCCCUGUCGAGUCCCCUCUCCCAUCGGUCCGUAGCGUGCGCAUCUCAGCGUGCCGCCGACGCUCUACCCCACCCACCCACCACAAGGGCCCUCCGCGUCGUCUGAGCUUGGCCUCGACGGCAUUGGCGUGAUGAAGGUCCUCCCCGAUCAGUAGACCUUCCUCGCACUACUGAGGUCGGUGGAACGCCUGUCCGCGGGGAGGCAGGUGCACGCCCAUGUCGUUGUGAGUGGUUUGCACUCACGCGUGUACCUGUGGAACUCUCUGAUCAAGAUGUACAUCGACGUCGGGGAUGUGGAGACCACCGAGCUGAUGUUCCGUUCUGCACUGGUGUUGGAUACCGUGUCUUGCAACAUCAUGAUAUCUGGGUAUGUGAAUGAAGGGUGCACCCUGAUGGCGUUGUGAUUUUUCCGUGACAUGGCAAGCCGGGGGAUUGUUGUUGAUUAGUAUACCGCCGUUGCUCUGCUCACUUGUUGUGGGCGCCUGAAGAACGAGAUUAUUGGGAGGUCUGUCCUGGCGCACGGACCUUAUGGGAAGCUAGAGGUCUGAGCUAUUGGGAAGCUAGAAUUUAUGUUUUUAUCAAUGUUUAGUCAUUAACUAAUUAAUUGCACAUCAUUUUGUUGUAUAUUUAUUAACUAAUCGAGUGUUGCAUACGAUUUUCAGAAGCAUUUGAAGACGCAGAAAUUACUCAUGUUGACGAUACAGUAGAUCCUGUUAGAGACAUGUAAACUAUUAGUGAAGAGCUCAGACUAAGUUUUCAUUGGACUUUGUUGAUUUACAAGAUCAGUUGUACAACACUUAAACCUUUUUUCGACACUAUUCUGUUUCUAUUUUCUGCAGGAUAUAGAGUUCAUGAAAAAGAAACUUGAGGGCCUUGAUAAGCCAAUGAAGAGGAGCAAUGAUAAGCUGCUCAAAAUUGAGCAUGAAUUAUGUGAGAGGAUUGAUCUAGCACAAUGCCGAGGAGACUGGAGACUAAACUUGGAGGUGCUACUGAAGGAUGUGACUUUGAGUCAAAGGGUAGCACAUGGAGAGCUUGAAUUGAAUUCAAGCUUGGAUAUGCUUGGAAAAUAUUUGUAUUAGAUCACCUAGAAGGGUGAUUGAUGCUUGUUAUUGGCCAAGCAGGUAGUCAGAUGAAGAUUGUAAAAAACAAGCAUGCUCAACCCUUCAAGAAUGCACAGUUUGAGCUUGAAUUUGGAAAGGGGAUAUGGCACAGUUCAGAGUUUUUUGAACAGAAUUUCUGGAGCAGUUGUUCCUAUAAAAUAAUAUUUUAGGUCUUGAAGCCACCACCGUUUGGAUUGACAUGAUCUGUGGUAUUCUGGUGAUCUCAUUAUAACAUACUUCAUUUCUUAUUGUGCUUAUACAGUAGUGUAGCGGGAAGAGAAUUCACAUUGCGUGAAAUCAUGUUGAUAGCUAAGAGGUGGAAGUUGAAGUAAGCCGGGAAGGGUGAGGUAUUGGGAACUGUGGCAUUUACAGUUCAGUAAGCAGCAGUAAAAUGUAGUGGUGUGGUCGUGUAUAUAUGAUGUGCACAUUUUGAACUCAGGCAUUCUUUAUUGAGUGCUGCUAGAAUUACAUUGAGCUCCCUCCACUUCUG